rnacentral:rRNA from 1 species
CCUACGGGGGGCAGCAGUGGGGAAUAUUGGACAAUGGGCGAAAGCCUGAUCCAGCCAUGCCGCGUGUGUGAAGAAGGCCUUCGGGUUGUAAAGCACUUUCAGUGGGGAAGAAAGCCUUGGGGCUAAUACCCUCGAGGAAGGACAUCACCCACAGAAGAAGCACCGGCUAACUCCGUGCCAGCAGCCGCGGUAAUACGGAGGGUGCGAGCGUUAAUCGGAAUUACUGGGCGUAAAGCGCGCGUAGGCGGUCUGAUAAGCCGGUUGUGAAAGCCCCGGGCUCAACCUGGGAACGGCAUCCGGAACUGUCAGGCUAGAGUGCAGGAGAGGAAGGUAGAAUUCCCGGUGUAGCGGUGAAAUGCGUAGAGAUCGGGAGGAAUACCAGUGGCGAAGGCGGCCUUCUGGACUGACACUGACGCUGAGGUGCGAAAGCGUGGGUAGCAAACAGGAUUAGAUACCCCUGGUAGUC